rnacentral:tRNA from 1 species
UCUAAUAUGGCAGAUUAGUGCAUUGGCUUUAAACCCCAAAUAUAAAAUUUACCUUUUUUUUUAGAA